rnacentral:tRNA from 1 species
GCCGAAGUGGCGGAAUUGGCAGACGCAGCAGACUCAAAAUCUGCCGAGGGCAACCUCGUGGGGGUUCGAGUCCCCCCUUCGGCACCA